UGGGGAAUAUUGGACAAUGGGCGGAAGCCUGAUCCAGCAACGCCGCGUGAGGGAUGACGGCCUUCGGGUUGUAAACCUCUUUCAGUACCGACGAAGCGAAAGUGACGGUAGGUACAGAAGAAGGACCGGCCAACUACGUGCCAGCAGCCGCGGUAAUACGUAGGGUCCGAGCGUUGUCCGGAAUUAUUGGGCGUAAAGGGCUCGUAGGCGGUUUGUCGCGUCGGGAGUGAAAACAGCGGGCUUAACUCGUUGCUUGCUUUCGAUACGGGCAGACUAGAGGUAUGCAGGGGAGAAUGGAAUUCCUGGUGUAGCGGUGAAAUGCGCAGAUAUCAGGAGGAACACCGGUGGCGAAGGCGGUUCUCUGGGCAUUACCUGACGCUGAGGAGCGAAAGUGUGGGGAGCGAACAGGAUUAGAUACCCUGGUAGUCCACACCGUAAAACGUUGGGCGCUAGGUGUGGGGUCCUUUCCACGGAUUCCGUGCCGUAGCUAACGCAUUAAGCGCCCCGCCUGGGGAGUACGGCCGCAAGGCU
rnacentral:rRNA from 1 species